rnacentral:lncRNA from 1 species
AAUAACGCGAAUGAAAAAAAGGGGAUGAAAAUCGGGAAGAAUGAAAGAGAGAAUGCUUUAAUGUAAUAGAAUUUUUGAGUAUGCAUGUUCUAAUAUUUUGCAAGUAUAUUGGCAAAUUUAAUACGUAAUACAGGGUGUCCCCAAAGUUUGGAUCGAUAGGAAAUCUGAUUAACUAUAAUUUUUUGUCCUCGACAGAUUAAAUAUGGCUUUGUCGAAAUAUGUCCAGGAUUGUGUGUCCAGAUCUUAGGAACAUCCUGUAAAAAUAUAUCGAAUAUAAGAAUGAGAGAAGAGAGAGAUAAUAUCGGUAUGAUUGUGCUAUUGUUAUUGUUAUUGUUGUUUUAGGAGAAGAAUGAGAAUAUCGUACUUCGAUGCGGAAAAUAAGCUUUAUGUAAUACACGUGCCUGCUCUAGCUAUAAUAAUAAAGAUCUGACAUUCCAAGCAGGACGUUACUCCUCCUCUUCGACGCAUUUGCAUUUCCGUAACAUUUUCUUUUGGUGUUAUGCGUUCUGUUGGGUGCUGUUGAACGCUGUUGUGCACCGUUAUAUGCCGCAGUUAGAGGAUAUAAGGUUUGAGAUUGGUAUGCACGAGUAAAGACUAAGCGUCUUAGGGAAGCAGAUAUAAGUAUAGAAAGAGGAUGACCUAGUUGCUACUCAGUGCCUCCCGAAAUAUUAAGAUAAACCCACGCGCGUAAUACAAUCCCAAUGCUAAGCUAACCAAAUUUAGCAUGUGACUUAGCAGACGCCCUCGAGACACUUACACGUACGAUGACUCACCCCGAGGAGAAGAUCCGAUGGACAGGAAUCAGGUGCACGGAAGAGAAACCUCCAUGACACCGAAUGGCCUUUACCUUAACUUUCAAGUCGCACGUAAUUAUUACGGAAUUUGUAUUUUUUCAAUGUUUAUAUGCGGGUUUGUUUCUUCACGUGGCUAAGAACACGCGUGUAUUUAUAGAGGUGAAUCUUACGGAGUUUGUCCUUGAGAUAUUAAUGAAAAAAAAAUUGGCACCGUUGUCCAGCAUAGAAAUCCACCCUCGUACUGUGCUCGAAUACUUCUUUACUCAUCGAUAAGGAUCUUCUGUCUUUUCCGCUAUUAGAUUCUAAUUGUAAGUUAAACGAGAUCACAAUGUAAUAACAUUUUUUGUUACAUUUCGAUAGCGUCGUUAGCGUCGAGGAAACAUAUGUAUACUAUAAUUUAUUGUACGAGAUAAUAUAUUUCACGUUUCUACUCAAUUUUGUAAUAACCAUAUUGUACCUAAUUUUAUUCGAGAUUAUUUAAUUGACACGAUGUUUUACGUGCGACACGUAAUCUCGUUGGAAUUGUGUCUGUAAAUACAAGAACGUUUCAAAUAUUAUCUCCCUACUCGGUUCGAUCUAAUCUUAAAAUAGAUCAACUAUAAAGACAAAUUGUAGGAGUUCGGUAUUGGUAUCUUAAUGAGAUAAAUAAUAUGAAUUUAACAUAAAAUAAGAGAUGAGGAAAAGUGCAUAAAAUUUGGAGAGUGUAAAUAUACCGAUAAAUCACUUUUAGGUCACAAACAAAACGCGUUCGAAAGCAACGAGUUACUCUAUUUGAAGAUUAGAAUUUAGAAAUUUUAAGAUGUGUUAGAUUAUAGGACCGAUGCACGUGUAUGAACUAAUAUAAUUCAAAUAAUACGAUUCAAAAAUAUCUUUCAUAACUCGAAUCCAAAGUUAGCUUAAGUCGUAACGCUUAAAUGCUGAAUAUUAUUAUUACAUGGUCGUUGUUUGUUGGUACAGAAUGAAAUUUUAUUUAUUUUCGAUACAAGUUCAAGCAACUUACCAGAAUUGAUGCACCCUGUUCUACCUUAGCGGAAUUUUCUUCAUCUUCUUCUCUUUACGCUAACGAGAAAACUUAACUCGCGAGUAUCGAUUCGUCGAUAAAUUAAAUGGAUCCUACUCGAUCGUGAAAUGUAAUUUGAUAACAGAAAUACAAGCAAGAAUUAGGCAAGAAGCCCAGAUUUUCGUGCAUCCGUGAGCUUAGCGAUGACGAAUAUUUUUCAAGGUAAAUGCUGAAAUAUCCCUCUUACUCGAUGUACCGAAUUUAAUAUUUCUACGAGCAUUGCCAAUUUUGCGUUAAGAAAGACGAACUUGUGUUAAAGUAAUCCGUUACAUCUAUAAUCCUUGAUACGAUGAUUGCCAGAUAGUUUACCUAUUAAAGUAUAUGUAUAUGUGUUUGUAUAAGUAUGUAAAGGGAUAUUGCAUUGAGCCGAUCGAUGAUGCGUCGUCGUUAGAAAUAUAUAGAAAUUACGUAGGACGAAAAAGCUCGUAAUUUAAUAUCAAUUUAUUUUUAAGAUUUUCGAUAUGGUCGAUAAACGAUCAUAUUUGUUUGUUUGUUUCUAUGAAUUUAACAAUUCAUAAUAAUGACAAUUAGUGUAUCUAUCUACCUGUAUUUUGUGUGAGGAUAUAUUUUAGUUAGCGAAGGUAACGGUCAAUAGCUUUGAGAAUAACUCUCUGCCAACUGAAAGCGUAGUUAAAACAUAUAUAGUUGUAGUGAUGUAUUUACUCUAAUGUAUAUCAAGAGUUCAGUCAGUGUCAACAAAGUUGAGUUACUUAAGAUAAGCAUAAAUUAAUCUCCACUAUAAGGUGAAUCUUUGUACAAAUCAACAAAUUAAUUAAACGUUGUAUUAAUUCGUU